rnacentral:rRNA from 1 species
AAAUAGAACUUUGCAGAGAGAGUUAACAGGGCGUGAAACCGUUAAUUGGCAAACGAAUCGGAGCCACGAAGUCGUUUCGUUGUUUAGUCUGGAUCAGGUUCAGCGGGUGGUCGCGAGGCCCCCGUGUACUCCUGGGUCUGGCCAAACCUUGUAAGCGUACACUGCAACCAGUUAGACGAUCAGUAGUGGGUCAAGUGUUGUGAGCGGCGAGCAAUCGCCGCGAGCUCCACGCAAGAAUUGUCCGUCCAGACUAGUAGUAGCGCGGCCGUGUUUCGGCACGGUUUGUGCUGCUGGGUUUGCGGCGGGUGAACUACAACUGAAUACUGACUGGCGAAAUGAAAAUCGCUUCCCUCGGGAGCGUUAGAGACAAAGCUGCUGGCCGCAUGCGGGCCUACACGCUCGACUGUUGGGUCUAAGCUUGGCGUUUUCGAAUUCAGACUUGCUUGCUACCAGUGGGGCAACUCCUGGUGCUUGUAUAGCUUCUGUCUAAUCAGGCGUCGACUUGGCCUAGCAUCGUUCGGGUGUGCUGCGAUGGGGUUUGUAUGCGAGCUGGUAAGCAAUGUGAAUUGGCAGUGAGUAGGUCGGCUUUCCGAACGACCCGUCUUGAAACACGGACCAAGGAGUCUAAUUAGGCAUCGAGUCGAUCGGUCUUGAAUAGGCCAGACAGAGCGUUUUAGGACGCUCGAUCGAAGGCGUAGAGAAAUCAAAUCGUGUGAUCACACUGGCAACAACAGCCUGGGUGCGCAACAUGUGCCUGUUCGUGUGGCAAUGUAGCAAUACUUGCCGAGCGGAGCAGAGAGAUGCCUGAUUGGGACC